UCCCUAUGCCAAGUGUUGGAUAAGCCCA
rnacentral:piRNA from 1 species